rnacentral:lncRNA from 13 species
AUGUCAGCUAGCAAGCAAGUCACAGUAACGAGGAACGCGAAGGGGGGGAUUCUGUCAGAGGGGAGAUUUUCGAUACAACACCUGUGCAGAAGCAAAGGCUACGUCAUCAACGGGUGCCAUGCUUUUACUCCUCGGUUUGCUCAGAGCCUGAUGAGGAGAGGUAUGUGUUAUGUACGCUCCGCUCUUUUCAAUGCACAUGUAAGAAAAUGUCCAAAAAAAGACAACCGAAAAUUAUAUCGUCAUUGAUUUAGUGUUGCGUUACUGUUUUUAGGAAUAUAUGUUAGUGUGAAUGGGGAUAAUGUUUGAUUGCAACUUUGCAAGGCUUGCCCAGCCACCGUUACCUUUGCGGGUCUCUCAGGUGCAGACAGCGUGAGUUUUCUGACAGGAAUUCAGCACUCUUUUGUCUUUUAUCAGGCUAAUAUAGUUGUGUAUGGCAGUCCAGACGGCAGCAUCAAGCUUGACUUUGUAUUUGUAUCCAUUCCAUGCAGGUAUGUUGUGAAAUGUGACGAUUUAUAUGUAAUGUUUAAUGUGCUAAUUAGUUAGCUGUUGUUCAUUUUGUUACUUUUCUGGGCAUGUCAAAAUGGCGUUGUUGCCUCAUUAGUAUACCUCAGGUACACUAAGAAAUAUUUAGCAUUUAUUAGCAAAUUAUUCCUGUACAACAUUUAUAAAAUGAAAUGAGUCUUUUGAAAAUAUGAACACUUACAUUUUGUACAAUGCAUUUUUAGUUGUUGACGUGAGUUAGCUCAGAGCGUGAUGAAGAGAGGCUAAUAUAGUUGUGUUUGGGAGUCCAGACAGCAGCACCAACCUUAGUCUUGUAUUUGUAUCCAUUCCAUGCAGUCACUAAAAGAGAGACAACGGGCAGACUUGUGUCCAGAGACUUGUCUUCCACCUACACCUCACCAGAACACAACGCAGAAAGGUACAGGACUGUACAG